UUACUCAUAUGCAUAUUAUAUACUCACCUCGUAGAUGUCUUCAUACUUGACAUUUUCAACCAGUUUCCAGAGCAUGAUGGCAGGCUGUUCUCUAGGAGGCAAACCUUCGUUUGCAUUGUCCGUUUUUAACACGUUGUACCGCAAAGAGGCGACCUAUUCUGAAGGCGAGCAGAGCCCAUCUCUGCCUCUGGAAGGAAACAACUGAGCUUUGCAGUGGGCUGGUGCGCUAGGAGGGAGGGAAAAAAAAAAAGGAAACAAGCGAGACAGAGACAGAGAGACAGAGAGAAAGAAGGUGUUUCUAAAUUCAGGGUCCUAUCUCUGGAAAUUUCAAGCUCUGUCUAUAAGGUUCCUACAAAUCUUUGUUAUUCUGCAUGGGAUCCUAUGGGAAAGUGCAUAGUGUCCUUUGUACUUUCAAAGGUCCUACAGCAGAGCCUGUCUUUGCAGUCACCGCUGCACGGAGGAGGAGGAGAAAAGAGCACAUCUCCGAGUGGGUUGGGCAGACCUUUUCAGCCGAGGCAAUAGUGUAAAAAAUGCUGAAAAGGAAAACGGAUGUGUGCCGUUUGCAUGUGGAUGUGCGGAGACAGCCGUGCAGACGCACCGCACACGCUCCCGUGCGCCUGCAGAGCUGAGCGGCCCCCUUAGAAAAAUGCCAGGCUCGCAAAGGGCCACUUUGCCAUCACUUCUGUUAAAGUCUUUGAGUCAUGUUCUGCGAGGCUGGCACAGGGCAGAGGGAAUGUGCUUCCUGACAGCUAAUGCUUUACCAUUUCGUGGCACCCUGAAUUAAAUGUGCUCUGCGCGUUGGGGGAGGGGGUAAGAGGGGAUGAGAGAGAAAAAGAAGCUAAAACAGAUCUGACGACCACCGCUUCCCUGCUCACAAAAUGGUACAGGCUGCAAAUCCUUAUUUUCAAGUCCCAUAAUUGUUAGAUUCAGUCGCACUUGCAAAACAUGAGAUACGUGUCUCAAAUGAGCUUUUUAAAAAUUAAAUUGAACAAAGGUUCUUCUCUUUUUUAUUUUUUUCCCUCUGCAGCUUAAAUAUUUAAGUCUGUCUACUUCAGCAAUUACAAACGGGAGUUGUUGCAUCCGUUUAUCUGAAAUACUCAAUAAAUUCUUGAGUUCAAAA